rnacentral:lncRNA from 1 species
AUCCAUCGGCCUAAUAGCCAACUAGACGAGAGGAGGCGUCUAAGGAUGGCCCUUGAUGCUGUAUUAUUCUUGUUCUCGUUCAUUCUUAUUCUUGAUCUCUGUCGUCUGUUUGCAACUUCUGGGUUCUUCCAAUAGAGUUACCUGAAACAUGUUUCUUAAAAAUUUCAGGCACGUGGAAUGAAUUAUUUGCAUAGCUGUAAUCCGAUGAUUGUCCAUCGUGAUCUAAAGUCACCUAACCUUCUAGUUGACAAAAACUGGGUUGUGAAGGUCAACAUUCUCUCCGUAAAAUAAUUUAUUUCUUACUAAUUGGAUAAUGUUCUAUCUUAUGUAACAGCAAAUUAGUGUGCAUAACAAUAACGGCUUUUCAUAUAUAUCAGGUGUGUGAUUUUGGGUUGUCUAGAAUGAAAAACAGCACAUACCUCUCUUCAAAGUCAACAGCAGGCACGGUAAGCUGCUAAGAAGUUAGCGUCUCCCUUUUCUAAGUCAUAUCCCUCUGCCGUUAUAAUAGCUAGUUUGUUAAUCUAAGUUAGGCUUGAAUUUGUGUUGGUAUCUUUCAGGCUGAAUGGAUGGCUCCAGAAGUGCUUAGAAACGAACCUGCUGAUGAGAAGUAUGAUUUUCAUUCUUUUUUCAUUUAGUUCGCUCUGCUCAUCAAAAUUCUUCUCUGUUCCCUAUUUAUGAAGUAGGCCUAAUGUCAAGAAAAAUACAAUACCUGAAACAGGUGCGACGUUUACAGCUACGGUGUGAUUCUAUGGGAACUCUUUACGUUACAGCAACCGUGGGGAAAGAUGAACCCCAUGCAAGUUGUUGGGGCAGUUGGGUUUCAGCACCGACGUCUUGACAUUCCUGACUUUGUCGAUCCAGCAAUUGCAGAUAUAAUCAGUAAAUGCUGGCAAACGUGAGUAUUUAGUGUUUGCACCACAGCAACUUCACUGGACAUCCAUAUCUCUCUGUUGAUGAGUCUUGACUCUCUUACGGCUUAUAGUUCUGUAACGACCUUGACACUUGGGCUUCUAAGCUAUCUUGUUCUUAUGAUUUGGCUGAUAUAUGUAGUGGGUUUUGUGUGCGUGUGUUUAU